AGCUCAGCUGGGAGAGCACUUGCCUUACAAGCAAGGGGUCGGUGGUUCGAGCCCGC
rnacentral:tRNA from 1 species